rnacentral:rRNA from 1 species
GACGUAGGGGGCGAGCGUUGUCCGGAAUGACUGGGCGUAAAGGGCGUGUAGGCGGCGCGGUACGUGGCGUCGGAAAGCCCCCGGCUCACCCGGGGGAGGCGGCGGCAAACGGCCGGGCUGGAGGGCAGGAGAGGGGCGCGGAAUUCCCGGUGGAGCGGUGAAAUGCGUAGAGAUCGGGAAGAACACCCGUGGCGAAGGCGGCGCCCUGGCCUGGCCCUGACGCUGAGGCGCGACAGCGUGGGGAGCGAACGGG